GACGAACGCUGGCGGCGCGCUUAACACAUGCAAGUCGAGCGAAGCGGCGGACGGGUGAGUAACACGUGAGUAACCUGCAUUAGACAUUGGGCUAGCCUCGGGAAACCGGGAUUAAUACCACAUGGUCUAAGAUGGACUCGCGUCCCAUUCGCUAGUUGGUGAGGUAACGGCCCACCAAGGCGACGAUGGGAAGCCGGCCUGUGAGGGUGAAAGGCCACAUUGGAACUGAGAAACGGUCCAAACUCGAAGGGAGGCAGCAGUGGGGAAGAUUGCACACUGGGGGGAAAGCUAAUGCAGCGACGCCGCGUGAACGAAGAAGGCUUUCGAGUCGUAAAGUUCUUUUAUAUGGGAAGCGGGACCAUAAGAAAAGCCCCGGCUAACUACGUGCCAGCCGCCGCGGUAAUAC
rnacentral:rRNA from 1 species